rnacentral:rRNA from 1 species
UACGUAGGGUGCAAGCGUUGUCCGGAAUUAUUGGGCGUAAAGAGCUCGUAGGCGGUUUGUCGCGUCUGCUGUGAAAACUCGGGGCUUAACCCCGGGCCUGCAGUGGGUACGGGCAGACUAGAGUGCGGUAGGGGAGACUGGAAUUCCUGGUGUAGCGGUGAAAUGCGUAGAUAUCAGGAGGAACACCGGUGGUGUAGACGGCUUUCUGGACCAUUGCUGACGCUGAGACACGAAAAGCGUGGGGUAGCAAAACAGG